UGAAAAUAGGGUUCUACUCUUACAGAAAAGGGCCAUGUAUUCACUAUCCAGGAUCCAGUAUGAAAUCCAGAUUUUAACAUUUAUGCUUUUGCCUGAAUGUGUGAAAGGUGUGGGAACCCUGUUAUGACAACUUUUUGUACAAACUGUGUUAGUGUUUUCACUUGUGCAUCUCGCCCAUUUGGAUUACUUGAAAUAAAAAUGUCCGGAAAGCAGAGCAGAAAUCGCACAUCAUUCUGAAUGGGAAUCAAACAGUAGAUGACAUUUUUCAAACCGAUGGUUCUACUCUUCCUUACUUGCUCCAAAAUCGCAGAGCCCAAAAGUACUCCAAGAGGACAAGUGAAUAAACCCAAGUUGAAUCUAA